GGGGGUGAAAUAGACUCGACGGAGAUAGGCAUUGGUGUUUGGUUGCAUGCCGACCUCUCAAUAAGUCGUUAAACUGUUGGGAACAAAUUAAUUGCCACACCUAACUACGAGGCAAUUGCCGCCUAAUUAAAGGCGGCACGCUGGUCAUCUACACCUGCUAAAUGUAACCAGCGACGACAGCAGGCUGGUUCUGCCCGGCGCCUGUCAACGGGUGGAACGAGAACUUUUGCAGGAUAGCUCAAUGGAAAUCCUGCCCGCGGGAGGGCUUUUGAGCGAAGACUUAAAUACACGGGAUAAGCAUGUAGCGACCGGCAUGAUGUAUCUUCGGACGCGGGGGCAGUACCCGCCACCUCCACCA
rnacentral:tmRNA from 1 species